UUCCAGACUCCUACGGGAGGCAGCAGUGGGGAAUAUUGCACAAUGGGGGGAACCCUGAUGCAGCGACGCCGCGUGGGUGAAGGAGCACCUCGGUGCGUAAAGCCCUAUCGGCAGGGAAGAAACAGACGGUACCUGACUAAGAAGCCCCGGCUAACUACGUGCCAGCAGCCGCGGUAAUACGUAGGGGGCAAGCGUUAUCCGGAUUCACUGGGUGUAAAGGGAGCGUAGACGGCGACGCAAGUCUGGAGUGAAAGCCCGGGGCCCAACCCCGGAACUGCAUUGGAAACUGUAUUUCUAGAGUGUCGGAGGGGCAAGUGGAAUUCCUGGUGUAGCGGUGAAAUGCGUAGAUAUCAGGAGGAACACCAGUGGCGAAGGCGGCGUGCUGGACGAUGACUGACGUUGAGGCUCGAAAGCGUGGGGAGCAAACAGGAUUAGAUACCCCCGUAUUC
rnacentral:rRNA from 1 species